rnacentral:pre_miRNA from 16 species
UCGUUUCCUUGACCUCUUUGCAGGUGGCUGCCAUUUUUGCGACCUUGCAACUGUUCGAUGACCUCUGGUUGCAUAGUCUCAGAAGUGACAUCCUUCUUGUAACCUCUCAACUUUCCCAGC